UGCUGCUGCUUUUUCUGCUUCACUAAAUAAAACCUUUUCUUUUGGCAUUCCUUAUGCCUCUUGGGAUACUAAAGUCCAGUUCAUAAUUGUUUGCCUUGAUUAUGUUUAUAUUGUUUGGGCCUUUUCUGGCCUGUUUGCCCAUAUUUGGGUUUGACUUCUGCUGAAUAGUUGAUAUCUCCAAAUGGAUUGUCUAUAUAUUGUAGUAUUCAUUUUUAAACACGAACUCAAUUGACUUUCUGUUCACCAAGCAUUUACUUCAUUUUUAAUUACUAAGCUGCUGGCAAAAAGAAAUUCAUUCUUAAUCUUAAGUUACACAUGACUUACUCUUUCUAUAUAUUCUAACUAUUAUUUGCAGUCUGAGUGUAGCAAAAUGGAUUCAUCUAAAUUGGGGGGAUGAUGGCUUAAUUACAUUAUUUGCAGAGACUUGGAAGCUGCUCCGACCUGGUGGCAUUUUUGUGUUGGAACCUCAGCCAUGGAAGUCAUAUGAAAGCAACCGUAAUGUCACAGAGAAUACUUCUGCUAACUUCCGUAAUAUUAAGUUUCGACCAGAAGAGUUUCAGGAAAUACUGCUAGAUAAGAUUGGAUUUAGAACAGUAGAAGCAAUCACUUCAGAUUUGUCAGGUAGUACAGUUGGUUUCAACAGACCAAUUUUGGUUUUUCAGAAAUAACGAAUGCAGAAUGCCAUGUGAUGAGUAAAUGUGAUUGAUUCUUCUCAGCAGAGAAGUAGCUGUUAUAUAUUUUGAGAUCAGAAGCUUGCAUGCCAUGAAACUGCUGUUCAAGAUGAUGAAUGACAUGCAUGGAAGCAAAUUUUUGGUUAAAUGAAAAUGCAGUGUCUAAUAGAAUGAGAUAUAAUUUAUUGUAUUAUAAAAAUAUUUAAAGAAUUAAUUAUUUUUAUUUUUAUUUUGUUUCA